rnacentral:rRNA from 1 species
UACAGAGGGUGCAAGCGUUAAUCGGAAUUACUGGGCGUAAAGCGUGCGCAGACGGUUGCGUAAGUCAGAUGUGAAAUCCCUCAGCUUAACUGGGGAACUGCGUCCGAUACUGGAUGGCUUGAGUUUGGGAGAGGGAUGCGGAAUUCCAGGUGUAGCGGUGAAAUGCGUAGAUAUCUGGAGGAACACCGGUGGCGAAGGCGGCAUCCUGGACCAACACUGACACUGAGGAGCGAAAGCCAGGGGAGCAAACGGG